rnacentral:lncRNA from 1 species
CCUUUCCAAUAUCCCGUUUUCCCAUUUGGAACAACCUUUCCUCUUCCUUCAACUAGCUUUUCAGGCGGUUCAACAACUUAUGUUGAUUCAUCUCCUAGUGGGAGGCUUUGUUUCCCCCCAGUCUCACAAUUAUUAGGACCUGCUGGUGCUGUCCCAUCCCAUUAUGCAAGGCCCUAUGUUGUUAGCCUCCCAGAUGGUAGUAAUAAUAGCGGUGCUGAGAGUGGUAGGAAAUGGGGAAGGCAAGGUCUAGACUUAAAUGCUGGGCCUGGAGGCCCAGAUAUAGAAGGAAGAGAUGAGACAUCACCUCUUGCAUCUAGGCAACUGUCUGUUGCCAGUUCACAGGCCCUGGCAGAAGAGCAAGCAAGAAUGU